rnacentral:rRNA from 1 species
AGUGAACGCUGGCGGUAGGCCUAACACAUGCAAGUCGAACGGCAGCACAGUAAGAGCUUGCUCUUACGGGUGGCGAGUGGCGGGCGGGUGAGGAAUACAUCGGAAUCUACUUUUUCGUGGGGGAUAACGUAGGGAAACUUACGCUAAUACCGCAUACGACCUACGGGUGAAAGCAGGGGAUCUUCGGACCUUUCGCGAUUGAAUGAGCCGAUGUCGGAUUAGCUAGUUGGCGGGGUAAAGGCCCACCAAGGCGACGAUCCGUAGCUGGUCUGAGAGGAUGAUCAGCCACACUGGAACUGAGACACGGUCCAGACUCCUACGGGAGGCAGCAGUGGGGAAUAUUGGACAAUGGGCGCAAGCCUGAUCCAGCCAUACCGCGUGGGUGAAGAAGGCCUUCGGGUUGUAAAGCCCUUUUGUUGGGAAAGAAAAGCAGCAGGUUAAUACCCCGCUGUUCUGACGGUACCCAAAGAAUAAGCACCGGCUAACUUCGUG